CCGCUCAUCAAUCCCUUUAUUGGUUUAGGUUAAACCUGUACUCGUAAUGAAUCCAACUUUUCGUGCUAGGUCACAAAGCUUGUUAUUAUCCACUCAUUGUCGUGUUUUUGUCGGACUGAACGUGGACCCGCGCCAAGUGGGAGUUGUUAUUACAUUUCCUUUUGCGGCAGAUAUUGAAAUAUUGAUUGUCCGACCGUAAGCAUGUUUACGGUGUAAAAGGAGUUUUGCCGACUGUUGAAACACAACAAUUUGUGAGCUUGGGAGAGGUGCAGUGAUUUGUAAGAAGAUUGUGAAUUAAUAAAGUGGAUGAUUUAUUUGCUACGAACUGGGCGUAAACUCAACUGAGAUGAGUCGUUGCCUACCGACAAACUGAGCUAAUCAAAUAUCCCUGACAAAUCCCGAAGACCCAACUUAUCCCACCAGGUAUACACGGUCCGGGAUGGAAUGCAGUGUGUGACCAACCAAAACUUAGCGGACGCUGUGAUCUACCGGUCCGUGGAAGCGAUCGGUUACAGUGUUUUUUGGCGCGACAACGAGGGGCACGACUUCGGGACUCGUAGCAGCCGAUAGGAAGAAUUGAAGGAAGGCCACUUCGGACGGAUCGACAGCAGCCGUGAGUGACUUGGGCGAGGGGAGCAAACCACAGCGUCCCAGCAUCCCGACGCUGGUCACAAGGACAUCGAAACGACGACCACGCCUAUUGACAGCAUCGCAGCUGUGGAUCAUCUUCUACGCCGAAUCAGGCGCAGUGUGGAAAUUUUCCGAUCGCACCUCGUAUAACAACUUGUUUGUGUCUUCCACUUUGGCCAAGACGAGGACCUAUAGAUUGACAACGUGAGACUGUUUACUCUAGAUUUUCUGGUUAUUAAAGAUAGCAAAACUUCAUUGCCAUAUUAACAAAGUAAUAUCUUCAUAUAUAAUCACCAAAGUUUAUGAAGACAUUAUAAUAUACAGAUACAAUAUAAGCCCUCUGAAAAUGUGGUAAAAAUUAAAUGUUUCAAAAUAACAAAAACAAAUUAAAAUCACAUCCAUGAAUAAAUUAAGAGAAACUUACAUCUGUUCAAAAUUAUUUUCUUUUAUUUUCUACUGUCUGGAGACAAAAAAUACAAGUAUCUAUAAUUUUAUUUGUCAAUGUCAGUCUCCCAGGCAGAAAUGCCGCAAGUGUUCCUUUGAAACAUUGGUAACCAUCUACAAGACCACAAGUUAUAAAUAUCUGGAAGAUCACUUUUGACAUCUUGACCGCCAUCACAACUUAAGAUCUCAGUUUUACCCGUUUCCUUCCAAGGGUGUGAAAUCUGAUAUUUGAGAACAAGGUUCUGUA